UAAGGGGAACUGACAAAUUGGAUGUAGCUAGCGCACUCUGAGGGAUUACGGGGGAUUUCUGUUUGUGUUUAAAAUGGGAGAUAAAAGCAUAUGCUUAAACCAUAUGGCUGUAAUGAGGGGAGUGAUCAGUAGAAAGAGAGAUUUGUUGCUGGAGACUGCCCUAAUAAAUAAAUCAGCAAUAUCCUUGAGAAAGUGAGAGGCAAAGUACAAAACAUACCUGUCUUUCCUUCUAGGCUGGGAGCUGCUUAAACAAAGACCAUGUUUUUAUUAAUCUUAAAUCCCUAGUUCUUGGCACAUAGUAGGUACUGACUGAGGUUUUGGAUGAGCACAUACACUUCACACUUAAUCCAUUUCCAGUACCUUGUUGGGUGAUGUACCAUGGGGCAUAGAGAAGUCAGAAGACAGUGGCCCUGCCUUCAAACCAUGAACUCAUUAGCUGAGGUAACCUGAAGCAGAUGAGACAGGAGAUGAUUGGGUGUAAGUGGGAGA
rnacentral:lncRNA from 10 species